rnacentral:rRNA from 1 species
GUAGGUGGCAAGCGUUGUCCGGAAUUAUUGGGCGUAAAGCGCGCGCAGGCGGCCCUUUAAGUCUGAUGUGAAAGCCCACGGCUCAACCGUGGAGGGUCAUUGGAAACUGGGGGACUUGAGUACAGAAGAGGAAAGUGGAAUUCCACGUGUAGCGGUGAAAUGCGUAGAGAUGUGGAGGAACACCAGUGGCGAAGGCGACUUUCUGGUCUGUAACUGACGCUGAGGCGCGAAAGCGUGGGGAGCAAACAGGGAUUAGAUACCCUGGUAGUCCACGCCGUAAACGAUGAGUGCUAAGUGUUAGAGGGUUUCCGCCCCUUUAGUGCUGCAGCUAACGCAUUAAGCACUCCGCCUGGGGAGUACGGCCGCAAGGCUG